rnacentral:rRNA from 1 species
AUUGAACGCUGGCGGCAUGCCUAACACAUGCAAGUCGAACGGCAGCACAGUCUAGCUUGCUAGACGGGUGGCGAGUGGCGAACGGGUGAGUAACGCGUAGGAAUAUGGCUUAAAGAGUGGGACAACUUGGGGAAACUCAAGCUAAUACCGCAUAAGCUCUUAGGAGGAAAGCUGGGGACCUUCGGGCCUGGCGCUUUAAGAUUAGCCUGCGUCCGAUUAGCUAGUUGGUAGGGUAAGGGCCUACCAAGGCGACGAUCGGUAGCUGGUCUGAGAGGAUGACCAGCCACACUGGGACUGAGACACGGCCCAGACUCCUACGGGAGGCAGCAGUGGGGAAUAUUGGACAAUGGGGGCAACCCUGAUCCAGCAAUGCCGCGUGUGUGAAGAAGGCCUGAGGGUUGUAAAGCACUUUCAGUGGGGAGGAGAGAUGUCAGGUUAAGAGCUGGACAUUGAGACGUUACCCACAGAAGAAGCACCGGCUAACUCCGUGCCAGCCGCCGCGGUAA